rnacentral:rRNA from 1 species
GUGCCAGCAGCCGCGGUAAUACCGGCAGCCCGAGUGAUGGCCGAUCUUAUUGGGCCUAAAGCGUCCGUAGCCUGCUGUGUAAGUCCAUUGGGAAAUCGACGCGCUCAACGCGUCGGCGUCCGGUGGAAACUACACGGCUUGGGGCCGAGAGACUUGACGGGUACGUCCGGGGUAGGAGUGAAAUCCUGUAAUCCUGGACGGACCACCGAUGGGGAAACCACGUCAAGAGACCGGACCCGACGGUGAGGGACGAAAGCCAGGGUCUCGAACCGGAUUAGAAACCCCAGUAGUCC